AUCCAGCUGUUAGGUCCCAAAUAGGAUGAAAUGCGCGUCUUGGAU
rnacentral:hammerhead_ribozyme from 1 species